AGCGAACGCUGGCGGCAGGCUUAACACAUGCAAGUCGAGCGGACCUUUCGGGGUCAGCGGCGGGCGGGUGAGUAAUGCGUGGGAACGUGCCUUCCGGUUCGGAAUAACCCUGGGAAACUAGGGCUAAUACCGGAUACGCCCUUAUGGGGAAAGGUUUACUGCCGGAAGAUCGGCCCGCGUCUGAUUAGCUAGUUGGUGGGGUAACGGCCUACCAAGGCGACGAUCAGUAGCUGGUCUGAGAGGAUGAUCAGCCACACUGGGACUGAGACACGGCCCAGACUCCUACGGGAGGCAGCAGUGGGGAAUAUUGGACAAGGGGCGCAAGCCUGAUCCAGCCAUGCCGCGUGAGUGAUGAAGGCCUUAGGGUUGUAAAGCUCUUUUAUCCGGGACGAUAAUGACGGUACCGGAGGAAUAAGCCCCGGCUAACUUCGUG
rnacentral:rRNA from 1 species